CGGGCGUCUUAACAUGCAAGUCGAACGGAGCGAAUGAAAGCUUGCUUUUAUGAGCUUAGUGGCAAACGGGUGAGUAACACGUAGGCAACCUGCCGACAGGAUGGGGACAACAUUCCGAAAGGAAUGCUAAUACCGAAUGAAGUGCAGGGGAGGCAUCUCCCCUGCAUGAAAGAUGGCCUCUAUAUAUAAGCUAUCACCUGUCGAUGGGCCUGCGUCUGAUUAGCUGGUUGGUGAGGUAACGGCUCACCAAGGCGAUGAUCAGUAGCCGGUCUGAGAGGAUGAACGGCCACAUUGGGACUGAGACACGGCUCAGACUCCUACGGGAGGCAGCAGUGGGGAAUCUUCCGCAAUGGGCGCAAGCCUGACGGAGCAACGCCGCGUGAGUGAAGAAGGUCUUCGGAUCGUAAAGCUCUGUUGACGGGGACGAACGUGCCUAAUGCGAAUAGUUUUAGGUAAUGACGGUACCUGUCGAGGAAGCCACGGCUAACUA
rnacentral:rRNA from 1 species